rnacentral:rRNA from 2 species
UCCGGUGACGAUAGCGAAGUGGCCACACCUGUUCCCAUCCCGAACACAGAAGUUAAGCACUUCCGCGGCAAAAAUAGCCCUUGGGUGAAUCGAGCACGUUGCCGGGU